rnacentral:piRNA from 1 species
UCUUCAUUGAUAAGUGGAGGAGAAAUGC